rnacentral:tRNA from 1 species
AUUUAUAUAGUUUACUUAAAACAUUACAUUUUCACUGUAAAAAUAAAAUAAAAAUUUUUAUAAAUAUA